UACUCGCGGCUGGGUUCGAGCUUCAGUGGGUCAGAAGACUCCAACGACAGAGGCUGCCAGUGUGCUUUGCUUCAGAGCGUCACUCCAGAGGCCCAGUCUUCUCCUGGUCUUGCAUAUCGAGCUGCGGGGACUCCAGAUUCCAGAUCAACCCUUUUAAGUUUUAUUUGGUUCUUGAUGAGGUUAAAUAAUAAUGGAAAUCGGGUGCACUGAUCGAUGUCAUUAAUGGACCUGAAGCCAAGACCAGUAAGGUCCAGUUAAAGGCUUUGCCUCCAAAGGAUCCUGCAAAACGUAAAGAGUUGUUAUGACCAUUGGAGGCCGAGUUCCCAUCAGCUAGCCAAGGUCUACACUGAAGACCUGCCACACUCUCUGUGACUGAGCUGUGACUGGACGGCACCUUCUGGGGAAAAGUGGGUCCUCGGACUUUUGAAACUGACUGAACCAAGGAGUUGAGAGGACAGCCUGGAAGGGAGAAGAGAGAAUGAAAGAAGACAAGAGAAAGGAGGAGGGCAGAAAGAGCAUAGAGGAAGAGGGAAAAUUAUACCAAGAGGCUGAUUCUCACAAGGAAGCCAGAACUGUUGCUGAGGAUGUGUGAAUUAGAGGAUCGCAGCAAAUCUGGCACCAAAGUGACUGAACUCAUCGAGCCCUGCGAUGACUACUAAAAGUCCUUUGUGAAGUUCCCCAUGGCCUUCCGGAUGCAGUCAAAUGCUUGACGUGGUGCUCAAGGCUCCCCUCCGCUGCAGCCUCCGCUUCACACUGCAAUGUCACCUCCGCAGUCCUCCUCUGCAGCCUCAGCACCACCAGGAACUCGCAGCUCUAAGCUCCAGCUCAACACGGUGGUGAGUGACACACCACCCCGACCUUCAGGACAUGUGCCAUAGAAAGCAAGGCGAUCACAGUGCAGAGAAAGAAGUCGCAGGAUUGUGACGUCCUUGUUGUUAGGGGGAUUCGUGGGAAGGACACCUACGUAGGAUUUAGGAGAUCAGUGAGAACUUCCCGAAGGAGUGAUAGCUAAGCAAAGAGCUAGAUGAUCAAAGGGAUCCAGAGGGGCAGGAGAUAGUUUUUAGCAAAAGAAAUGGAAUGUGCCAAGGAAGGGGGAAAGUAAGUAGCAGGAAUUCAGACAAUGAGGGAAGAAGGGGAGGCUGAUGGGGUGGUGAAUUCUACAGUUUGGCCUGAAAUGUCCCCAGAAGUGCCAUGUGCUAAAGGCUUGGUCCCAGCUUGGUCUGUUGGGAGGUGCUGAAAACAUCAAGAGGUAGGACCUCAUGGGAGGUUCCCCAGACACUGGGGGUAUGCCCUUGAUGGGGACAGUGAGGUCUCAGACCCUUCCUCUUUCUCUCCUUUGUUCCCAAUCAUGAGGUGAACAGAUUUCCUUCACCACAUGCAUCUCCUUUGAUGUUCUGUCUCAGCGGGUCAACUGACCAUGGAAUAAAACAACCCGAAUAAACCUUUCCUCCUUUCAAA